GACACCAAUUAAAACAAGGAUUUGUAAGAAAGGGGUGAUAAAAACACCCCUGCUAAUUCCACCUAAUGAUAAUAGAAUCUGCUGAUAAAAGCUUUUUAUCACCCAUGCUAAUUCCACCUUUCUUUUUGUGUUUGUUUUAAAGGGUGUUUGCAGUGGUGGGGUUGGACGGGGCGGCGAGAGAGGGUGAAUUAUUUGGGGCUUUUGAUUAGUUAGUGUUGCUGAGUUGAUUUUCCAUCAAAUUCCGUUGGAAAUUUUGAAUUUGAGGCUCCGCCGCGGCAGCACCGCCAUGGCCGAAAAUUGCAUCUAGUGGUGCUGUGUUCGAACUCAAAUUUGUAGCGAUUGGCUUAGUAGAUUUUAGGGCUUUUUGGUGGGAUAUGCUCGCGGGAGGCUGGCGCUGCUCCUGAUGUUGCUCCGUCGCCGUCAAACUCGCUGGAGCUUCGGCGACGGCGGUCAACAGUGGUUGCUCCGUAGCUUUCUUAAGAGGGGUGCCAAAGCACAUUGGAAAUGAUAUGUGGGAUGUUGCAAUGGAAAGGCGGGACAAGAAAAUGAUGGAGAUGCUUGCUUCUCCUUCUUCUUCUUCUUCUUCUUCUUCGUCUUAGGCCAUGUUUCUCAUUAUUUGGUACUUUAAUUAGUUGCCCCUUUUAAUAUUAUCAUUUUUGUUUUGAUGCUAAUGAGGGAGAUUUCCGUUUGUCUGUUAGAUGAAUUAGGGUUGUUCUUCUGUUCUGUUGAUUGGUGGUCGAACUUGCUUACUUUUGAUUAAAUUUUGAUAAAGGGUGCCCUUUGAUGAUGAAA